CCCCAAAUGUGACUGAACCACAGAGAGACGAGGCGCCUGGGCAAACCUUCAACCCACACCCUGUAUCGCACUGUCCCCUCCCUACUCCCCACUUCUCUGCCCCCGCCCCCGACGUCCCAGAGCGUCGGAGGGGACCCAAGUCCACGCUGGGACGCCCGGGAGGAGUUCAGGGUUCAAGUGCGCGCCUGGGUCUGUGCACAUCUUCCCCUUCCUCGGCCUCCCUGGAGGGAAGACCGUAGAAGCUUUAUCAUAGGGCCUAGUGUCAUGAUCAUAUAUUUACUCCAUAAAUACCUGUGAGAUGUCUUCAAGCUUAUCUUCAUUUACAUUACAUGGGAAGAAAGCUAAUGGAACUUGAGAGCAGGUGAAAUGGAAGGCUAUGUGCAAGUUCUAAGGGAAUAAAGUUUGUUUUCUAAUGUUGCCUCUUUAUGUAGAUUGUUUUUUCAUAACUUGAUUAAAAGUCUCCGUCCUUUUCACCUUCUCCCCUGCCUGAAGUCAUUUCUGCCAUGUAUAUGAGCUAACGAUUUUUGGUGUAGUCACCUUUUCAAUUGAUCUGUGUUGUUUACCAAGUCUCACAUCAAUUUCAACUGUGCUGCCUCCCGGAGUUCUGCUAACUUGUGAGGACAAACAAUCCUCUCCGCCUGGCAGGCAGCGGAUGACCAGACCGCGCUCAGUUCUGAUUGGUUGAAUCCCCUGGGUCUGAUUAGUCCAGAUGAGUCAGAAGGCACGUUCCCAAGC
rnacentral:lncRNA from 10 species